GGUGCUUUGAGGUGUUUUGGGUCCCCUUUCAGGUGGUUUUGGGGUAUUUUGGGGUAUUUUGGGGUGUUUUGGGUCCCCAUCGAGGUGUUUUUGGGGUAUUUUGGGGUGCUGUGGGGUGUUUAGAGACGUUUUGGGGCCCUUUUGGGGUACUUUCAGGUGUUUUGAGUCCUUUUCGAGGUGCUUUUGGGGUAUUUUCAGGUGCUGUGGGGUGUCUGAGUCCCUUAUUGAGGUGUUUUUCGGGUAUUUUGGGGUAUUUUGGGGUGUUUUGAGUUCUUUUCGAGGUGCUUUUGGGGUAUUUUGUGCUGUCUUGCGGUGUUUCAGUGCCCAUUGAGGUGGUUUCGUGUUGCUUUGGGGUGUUUUGGGUCCCCAUCGAGGUGGUUUUAGGGUCUUUUGGGUUGUUUCGGGGUGUCUGAGUCCGCAUUGAGGUGGUUUUGGGGUGUUGUGAUUCCUUAAGGUGAUUUGGGGCUGUUUUGGGGGCGCUGUGAGUCGUUUUUGAGGUGGUUUUGGGGUAUUUUGGGGUGUUUUGGGGUGUUUUGAAUUGUUUCGAGCUGGUUUUGGGGUGUAUGGAGGUGUUUUGGGUCCCCUUUCAGGUGCUUUUGGGGCAUUUUGGGGUGUUGUGCGUCCUUUUCGAGGUGGUUUUGGGGCAUUUUGGGGUGUUUUGGGGUGUUUGAGUCUUUUCAGGGCAGUUUUGGGGUGCUUUGAGGUGUUGUGGGUCCUUCUCAAAGUGCUUUUGGGGUAUUUUGGGGUGUUUUGAGUCCUUUUCCAGGUGGUUUUGGGGUAUUUUGGGGGUAUUUCAGUCCCCAUUGAGGUGGUUUUGGGGUCUUUUAGGGUUUUUUGAGUUUUUUUGAGGCACUUCUGGGGCAUUUUGAGGAUUUUUGGGUCCUCCUCAGGGUGGUUUUGGGGCAUUUUGGGCUGUUUUGGGGUGUUGUGAGUCCUUAAGGUGAUUUGGGGCUGUUUUGGGGGUGCUGUGAGUCUGAUUAAGGUGGGUUUGGGAGAUUUUGGGGUGUUUUGGGGUGUUUUGAGUGUUUUUGAAGGUGAUUUUGGGGUAUUUUGGGGUGUCUUGGGGUGUUUUGAUCCAUUUUGAGGUGUUUUUGAGGUGUCUUGGGUUGUUUCAGUCCCCAUUGAGGUGAUUUUGGGGCAUUUUGGGGUGUUUGGAGUCUUUUUCAUGGUGGUUUUGGGGUAUUUUGGGGUAUUUUGGAGUGUCUGAGUCCAUUUUGAGGUGUUUUUGGGGUGCUUUGAGGUGUUUUGGGUCCCCUUUCAGGUGGUUUUGGGGUGUUUUGGGGUGCUGUGUGUCUUUUCAGGGCAGUUUUGGGGCGCUUUGAGGUGUUUUGGGCCCCCAUCGAGGUGAUUUUGGGGUGUUUUGGGGUGUUUGGAGUCGUUUUGAGGUGGUGUUGGGGUGUUUUGAGGUGUUCUGAGUCCUCGUGGUGGUUUUGGGGAGUUUCGGGGUGGUUUGUGUCCUUUUUGAGUUGAUUUGGGGUGUUUUGAGUCUUUUUUGAGGAGGUUUUGGGGUAUUUUGGGGUGUUUUGGGGUGUUUGGAGUCGUUUUGAGGUGAUUUUGGGGUGUUUUGAGGUGUUUUGGGUCCUCAUUGAGGUGGUUUUGGGGUAUUUUCAGGUGUUUUGGGGUGUUCUGAGUCCACUUUGAGGUGGUUUUGGAGUGCUUUAAGGUGUUUUGGGUCCCCAUUCAGGUGAUUUUGGGGUGUUUUGGGGUGUUGUGAGUCCUCCUCAAGGUGCUUAUGGGGUGUUUUGGGGGUGUUUGAGUCCUUUUUGAGGUGUUUUUGGGGUGCUUUGAGGUGUUUUGGGUCCCCAUCGAGGUGAUUUUGGGGUGUUUUGGGGUGUUUGGAGUCGUUUGAGGUGGUGUUGGGGUGUUUUGAGGUGUUCUGAGUCCUCGUGGUGGUUUUGGGGAGUUUUGGGGUGGUUUGUGUCCUUUUUGAGUUGAUUUGGGGUGUUUUGAGUCUUUUUUGAGGAGGUUUUGGGGUAUUUGGGGGUGUUUUGGGGUGUUUGGAGUCGUUUUGAGGUGGUUUUGGGGUGUUUUGAGGUGUUUUGGGUCCUCAUUGAGGUGGUUUUGGGGUAUUUUCAGGUGUUUUGGGGUGUUGUGAGUCCACUUUGAGGUGGUUUUGGGGUGCUUUAAGGUGUUUUGGGUCCCCAUUCAGGUGAUUUUGGGGUAUUUUGGGGUGUUGUGAGUCCUCCUCAAGGUGCUUAUGGGGUGUUUUGGGGUGUCUGAGUCCCCUUCGAGGUGUUUUUGGGGCAUUUUGGGGUGUUUUGGGUCCUCAUUGAGGUGGCUUUCUGUUAUUUUGGGGUGUUUGAGUCCUUUUUGAGGAGGUUUUGGGGUGCUUUGAAGUGUUUUGGGUCCCCAUCGAGGUGAUUUUGGGGUGUUGGAGUCCCCUUUGUGGUGACUUUGUAUUAUUUUGGGGUGUUUGAUUCCUUUUUGAGGAGGUUUUGGGGUGUUUUGAGGUGUUUUGUGUCCUCAUUGAGGUGGUGUUGGGGGAUUUUGGGGUAUUUUGGGGUGUUUUGAUUCCUUAAGGUGAUUUGGGGCUGUUUUAGGGGUGCUUUGAGUCCUUUUCAAGGUGGUUUUGGGGUGUUUUGGGGUGUUUUGAUUCAUUUCAAGGUGUUUUUGGGGUGCUUUGGGGUGUUUUGAGUCCUCCUUGUGGUGAUUUUGGGGUGUUUUGAGGUGUUUGAGUCUUUUUCAAGGUGGUUUUGGGGUAUUUUCAGGUGUUUUGGGGUGUUCUGAGUCGUUUUUGAGGUGGUUUUGGGGUAUUUUGGGGUGUUUUGGGGUGUUUGGAGUCGUUUUGAGGUGGUUUUGGGGUGUUUUGAGGUGUUUUGGGUCCCCAUUGAGGAGGUUUUGGGGUAUUUUGGGGUGUUUUGAUUCCUUAAGGUGAUUUGGGGCUGUUUUGGGGGUGUUUUGAGUCUUUUUCAAGGUGGUUUUGGGGUGUUUGGAGUCAUUUUGAGGUGGUUUUGGGGUGUUCUGGGUCCUCAUUGAGGUGGCUUUGUGUUAUUUUGGGGUGUUUGAGUCCUUUUUGAGGAGGUUUUGGGGUGUUUUGAGGUGUUUUGGGUCCUCAUUGAGGUGGUUUUUGGGUGUUUUGGGGUGUUGUGAGUCUUUUUCAAGGUGGUUAUGGGGUGAUUAGGGGCAUUUUGGGGUUCUUUGGGGUGUUUUGAUUCGUUUCAAGGCAUUUUUGGGGUGUUUUGGGGGUGUUUUGAGUCCUCAUUGAGGUGCUUUUGGGGUAUUUUGAGGUGAUUUGGCGUGUUUGAGUCCCCUUUGAGGUGCUUAUGGGGUGUUUUGAGGUGUUUUGGGUCCCCAUCGAGGUGAUUUUGGGGUGUUUUGGGGUGUUUUGAUUCAUUUCAAGGCAUUUUUGUGGUGCUUUGAGGUGUUUUGAGUUCUCCUUGUGGUGAUUUUGGGGUAUUUUGGGGUGUUUUGGGGUGUCUGAGUCCCCUUUGAGGUGUUUUUGGGGUGCUCUGAGGUGUUUUGGGUCCCCAUCGAGGUAAUUUUGGGGUAUUUUGGGGUGUUUUGAGUCUUUUCCAGGUGCUUUUGGGGUAUUUUGGGGGUAUUUCAGUCCCCUUCGAGGUGUUUUGGGGUCUUUUGAGGUGUUUUGAGUUGUUUUGAGGUGUUUUGGGGUCUUUUGAGUGGUUUCAGGGUGUUUUUGGGGCGUUUUGAGGUGUUCCGAAUCCUCCUCAAGGCGGUUUUGGGGUAUUUGGGGGUGAUUUGGGGUGUUUUCAAUCUGCGCAGAGAUGAUUUGGGGGUAUUUGGGGUUUGUUUUGAGUCCAUAUUGGGGCGUUUUGGGGUGCUUUCAAUCCAUUUGGGGGGUCUGGAUUCGCUGCCAUGGUUUUGGGGUGUUUUGGGGGUAUUUUGGAGUCUUUUGGGGUGUUUUGAGUCUUUUUCGAGGUGGUUUUGGGGUAUUUUGGGGUGUUUUGGGGUGUUUUGAAUUGUUUCCAGCUGGUUUUGGGGUGCAUUGAGGUGUCUUGGGUCCCCAUUGAGGUGGUUUUGGGGUGUUGUGAGUCCUCCUCAAGGUGGUUUUGGGGUAUUUUGGGGUGUUUUGGGGGUGUUUCAGUCCCCUUUGAGCUGUUUUUGGGGUGUUUUGGGGUGUUUUGAGUCCUUUUCAAGCUGAUUUUGGGCUGUUUUGGGGUGUUUUGCUUCGUUUCAAGGUGUUUUUGUGGUGCUUUGGGGUGUUUUGAGUCCUCCUUGUGGUGGUUUUGGGGUAUUUUGGGGUGUUUUGGGGCAUUUUGGGGUGUUUUGGGGUGUUUGAGUCUUUUCAGGGCAGUUUUGGGGUGCUUUGAGGUGUUUUGGGUCCUUCUCAAAGUGCUUUUGGGGUAUUUUGGGGUGUUUGGAGUCUUUUUCAUGGUGGUUUUGGGGUAUUUUGGGGUAUUUUGGGGUGUCUGAGUCCAUUUUGAGGUGUUUUUGGGGUGCUUUGAGGUGUUUUGGGUCCCCAUCGAGGUAAUUUUGGGGUAUUUUGGGGGUGUUUUGAGUCCUUUUCCAGGUGGUUUUGGGGUAUUUUGGGGGUAUUUCAGUCCCCAUCGAGGUGAUUUUGGGGUCUUUUGGGGUGUUUUGAGUUGUUUUGAGGCCCUUCUGGGGCAUUUUGAGGUGUUGUGGGUCCUCCUCCAUGUGGUUUUGGGGCAUUUUGGGCUGUUUUGGGGUGUUGUGAGUCCUUAAGGUGAUUUGGGGCUGUUUUGGGGGUGCUGUGAGUCUUAUUAAGGUGGGUUUGGGAGAUUUUGGGGUGUUCUGGGGUGUUUUGAGUCUUUUUGAAGUCGAUUUUGGGGUAUGUUGGGCUAUUUUGGGGUGUCUUGGGUUGUUUCAGUCUCUAUUGAGGUGUUUUGGGGUGUCUUGGGUUGUUUCAGUCCCCAUUGAGGUGGUUUUGGGGUAUUUUCAGCUGUUUUGGGGUGUUCUCAGUCCACUUUGAGGUGGUUUUGGGGUGUUUUGGGGUGUUUUGGGGUGUUUGAGUCCCCUUUGUGGUGGCUUUGUGUUAUUUUGGGGUGUUUGAGACCUUUUUGAGGAGGUUUUGGGGUGUUUUGAGGUGUUUUGGGUCCUCAUUGAGGUGGUGUUGGGGGAUUUUGGGGUAUUUUGGGGUGUUUUGGGGUGUCUGAGUCCCCUUUGAGGUGUUUUUGAGGUGCUUUGAGGUGUUUUGAGUCCCCAUCGAGGUGGUUUUGGGGCAUUUUGAGGUGUUUUGGGUCCUCCUCAGGGUGGUUAUGGGGCAUUUUGGGGUAUUUUGGGACAUUUUGGGGUGUUGUGAGUCCUUAAGGUGAUUUGGGGCUGUUUUGGGGGUGCUGUGAGUCUUGUUAAGGUGGGUUUGGGAGAUUUUGGGGUGUUGUGAGUGUUUUUGAAGGUGAUUUUGGGGUAUUUUGGGGUGUCUUGGGGUGUUUUGAUCCAUUUUGAGGUGUUUUUGAGGUGUCUUGGGUUGUUUCAGUCCCCAUUGAGGUGAUUUUGGGGCAUUUUGGGGUGUUUGGAGUCUUUUUCAUGGUGGUUUUGGGGUAUUUUGGGGUAUUUUGGGGUGUCUGAGUCCAUUUUGAGGUGUUUUUGGGGUGCUUUGAGGUGUUUUGGGUCCCCUUUCAGGUGGUUUUGGGGUGUUUUGGGGUGCUGUGUGUCUUUUCAGGGCAGUUUUGGGGUGCUUUGAGGUGUUGUGGGUCCUUUUCAAAGUGGUUUUGGGGUAUUUUGGGGUGUUUUGGGGUGUCUGAGUCCCCUUUGUUGUGCUUAUGGGGCGCUUUGAGGUGUUUUGGGUCCCCAUCGAGGUGAUUUUGGGGUGUUUUGGGGUGUUUGAGUCCUUUUUGAAGAGUUUUUGGGGUAUUUUGGGGUGCUGUGUGCUGUUUGGAGUCGUUUUGAGGUGAUUUUGGAGUGUUUUGGGGGUAUUUUGGGGUGUUCUGGGUCAUUUUGAGGUGAUUUUGGGGUCUUUUGAGGUGUUUUGAGUUGUUUUGAGGUGUUUUGGGGUCUUUUGAGUGGUUUCAGGGUGUUUUUGGGGCGUUUUGAGGUGUUCCGAAUCCUCCUCAAGGCGGUUUUGGGGUAUUUGGGGGUGAUUUGGGGUGUUUUCAAUCUGCGCAGAGAUGAUUUGGGGGUAUUUGGGGUUUGUUUUGAGUCCAUAUUGGGGCGUUUUGGGGUGCUUUCAAUCCAUUUGGGGGGUCUGGAUUCGCUGCCGUGGUUUUGGGGUGUUUUGGGGGUAUUUUGGAGUCUUUUGGGGUGUUUUGAGUCUUUUUCGAGGUGGUUUUGGGGUAUUUUGGGGUGUUUUGGGGUGUUUUGAAUUGUUUCCAGCUGGUUUUGGGGUGCAUUGAGGUGUCUUGGGUCCCCAUUGAGGUGGUUUUGGGGUGUUGUGAGUCCUCCUCAAGGUGGUUUUGGGGUAUUUUGGGGUGUUUUGGGGGUGUUUCAGUCCCCUUUGAGCUGUUUUUGGGGUGUUUUGGGGUGUUUUGAGUCCUUUUCAAGCUGAUUUUGGGCUGUUUUGGGGUGUUUUGCUUCGUUUCAAGGUGUUUUUGUGGUGCUUUGGGGUGUUUUGAGUCCUCCUUGUGGUGGUUUUGGGGUAUUUUGGGGUGUUUUGGGGCAUUUUGGGGUGUUUUGGGGUGUUUGAGUCUUUUCAGGGCAGUUUUGGGGUGCUUUGAGGUGUUUUGGGUCCUUCUCAAAGUGCUUUUGGGGUAUUUUGGGGUGUUUGGAGUCUUUUUCAUGGUGGUUUUGGGGUAUUUUGGGGUAUUUUGGGGUGUCUGAGUCCAUUUUGAGGUGUUUUUGGGGUGCUUUGAGGUGUUUUGGGUCCCCAUCGAGGUAAUUUUGGGGUAUUUUGGGGUGUUUUGAGUCCUUUUCGAGGUGGUUUUGGGGUAUUUUGGGGGUAUUUCAGUCCCCAUCGAGGUGGUUUUGGGGUCUUUUGGGUUAUUUUGGGGUGUUUGGAGUCGUUUUGAGGUGAUUUUGGGGUAUUUUGGGGGUAUUUUGGGGUGUUCUGGGUCAUUUUGAGGUGGUUUUGGGGUCUUUUGGGGGUGUUUUGAGUUGUUUUGAGGCCCUUCUGGGGCAUUUUGAGGUGUUGUGGGUCCUCCUCAGGGUGGUUUUGGGGCAUUUUGGGGUGUUUUGAGAUGUUUUUGGGGUGUUGUGAGUCUUAUUAAGGUGGUUUUGGGAGAUUUUGGGGUGUUUUGAGUCUUUUUGAAGGUGAUUUUGGGGUAUUUUGGGGUGUCUUGGGUUGUUUCAGUCCCCAUUGAGGUGAUUUUGGGGCAUUUUGGGGUGUUUGGAGUCUUUUUCAUGGUGGUUUUGGGGUAUUUUGGGGUAUUUUGGAGUGUCUGAGUCCAUUUUGAGGUGUUUUUGGGGUGCUUUGAGGUGUUUUGGGUCCCCAUCGAGGUAAUUUUGGGGUAUUUUGGGGGUGUUUUGAGUCCUUUUCCAGGUGGUUUUGGGGUAUUUUGGGGGUAUUUCAGUCCCCAUCGAGGUGAUUUUGGGGUCUUUUGGGGUGUUUUGAGUUGUUUUGAGGCCCUUCUGGGGCAUUUUGAGGUGUUGUGGGUCCUCCUCCAUGUGGUUUUGGGGCAUUUUGGGCUGUUUUGGGGUGUUGUGAGUCCUUAAGGUGAUUUGGGGCUGUUUUGGGGGUGCUGUGAGUCUUAUUAAGGUGGGUUUGGGAGAUUUUGGGGUGUUCUGGGGUGUUUUGAGUCUUUUUGAAGUCGAUUUUGGGGUAUGUUGGGCUAUUUUGGGGUGUCUUGGGUUGUUUCAGUCUCUAUUGAGGUGUUUUGGGGUGUCUUGGGUUGUUUCAGUCCCCAUUGAGGUGGUUUUGGGGUAUUUUCAGCUGUUUUGGGGUGUUCUCAGUCCACUUUGAGGUGGUUUUGGGGUGUUUUGGGGUGUUUUGGGGUGUUUGAGUCCCCUUUGUGGUGGCUUUGUGUUAUUUUGGGGUGUUUGAGACCUUUUUGAGGAGGUUUUGGGGUGUUUUGAGGUGUUUUUGAGGUGCUUUGAGGUGUUUUGAGUCCCCAUCGAGGUGGUUUUGGGGCAUUUUGAGGUGUUUUGGGUCCUCCUCAGGGUGGUUAUGGGGCAUUUUGGGGUAUUUUGGGACAUUUUGGGGUGUUGUGAGUCCUUAAGGUGAUUUGGGGCUGUUUUGGGGGUGCUGUGAGUCUUGUUAAGGUGGGUUUGGGAGAUUUUGGGGUGUUGUGAGUGUUUUUGAAGGUGAUUUUGGGGUAUUUUGGGGUGUCUUGGGGUGUUUUGAUCCAUUUUGAGGUGUUUUUGAGGUGUCUUGGGUUGUUUCAGUCCCCAUUGAGGUGAUUUUGGGGCAUUUUGGGGUGUUUGGAGUCUUUUUCAUGGUGGUUUUGGGGUAUUUUGGGGUAUUUUGGGGUGUCUGAGUCCAUUUUGAGGUGUUUUUGGGGUGCUUUGAGGUGUUUUGGGUCCCCUUUCAGGUGGUUUUGGGGUGUUUUGGGGUGCUGUGUGUCUUUUCAGGGCAGUUUUGGGGUGCUUUGAGGUGUUGUGGGUCCUUUUCAAAGUGGUUUUGGGGUAUUUUGGGGUGUUUUGGGGUGUCUGAGUCCCCUUUGUUGUGCUUAUGGGGCGCUUUGAGGUGUUUUGGGUCCCCAUCGAGGUGAUUUUGGGGUGUUUUGGGGUGUUUGAGUCCUUUUUGAAGAGUUUUUGGGGUAUUUUGGGGUGCUGUGUGCUGUUUGGAGUCGUUUUGAGGUGAUUUUGGAGUGUUUUGGGGGUAUUUUGGGGUGUUCUGGGUCAUUUUGAGGUGAUUUUGGGGUCUUUUGAGGUGUUUUGAGUUGUUUUGAGGUGUUUUGGGGUCUUUUGAGUGGUUUCAGGGUGUUUUUGGGGCGUUUUGAGGUGUUCCGAAUCCUCCUCAAGGCGGUUUUGGGGUAUUUGGGGGUGAUUUGGGGUGUUUUCAAUCUGCGCAGAGAUGAUUUGGGGGUAUUUGGGGUUUGUUUUGAGUCCAUAUUGGGGCGUUUUGGGGUGCUUUCAAUCCAUUUGGGGGGUCUGGAUUCGCUGCCGUGGUUUUGGGGUGUUUUGGGGGUAUUUUGGAGUCUUUUGGGGUGUUUUGAGUCUUUUUCGAGGUGGUUUUGGGGUAUUUUGGGGUGUUUUGGGGUGUUUUGAAUUGUUUCCAGCUGGUUUUGGGGUGCAUUGAGGUGUCUUGGGUCCCCAUUGAGGUGGUUUUGGGGUGUUGUGAGUCCUCCUCAAGGUGGUUUUGGGGUAUUUUGGGGUGUUUUGGGGGUGUUUCAGUCCCCUUUGAGCUGUUUUUGGGGUGUUUUGGGGUGUUUUGAGUCCUUUUCAAGCUGAUUUUGGGCUGUUUUGGGGUGUUUUGCUUCGUUUCAAGGUGUUUUUGUGGUGCUUUGGGGUGUUUUGAGUCCUCCUUGUGGUGGUUUUGGGGUAUUUUGGGGUGUUUUGGGGCAUUUUGGGGUGUUUUGGGGUGUUUGAGUCUUUUCAGGGCAGUUUUGGGGUGCUUUGAGGUGUUUUGGGUCCUUCUCAAAGUGCUUUUGGGGUAUUUUGGGGUGUUUGGAGUCUUUUUCAUGGUGGUUUUGGGGUAUUUUGGGGUAUUUUGGGGUGUCUGAGUCCAUUUUGAGGUGUUUUUGGGGUGCUUUGAGGUGUUUUGGGUCCCCAUCGAGGUAAUUUUGGGGUAUUUUGGGGUGUUUUGAGUCCUUUUCGAGGUGGUUUUGGGGUAUUUUGGGGGUAUUUCAGUCCCCAUCGAGGUGGUUUUGGGGUCUUUUGGGUUAUUUUGGGGUGUUUGGAGUCGUUUUGAGGUGAUUUUGGGGUAUUUUGGGGGUAUUUUGGGGUGUUCUGGGUCAUUUUGAGGUGGUUUUGGGGUCUUUUGGGGGUGUUUUGAGUUGUUUUGAGGCCCUUCUGGGGCAUUUUGAGGUGUUGUGGGUCCUCCUCAGGGUGGUUUUGGGGCAUUUUGGGGUGUUUUGAGAUGUUUUUGGGGUGUUGUGAGUCUUAUUAAGGU